rnacentral:rRNA from 1 species
UACGUAGGGGGGCAAGCGUUGUCCGGAUUUAUUGGGCGUAAAGAGCGUGUAGGCGGCUUUACAGGUCCGUUGUGAAAAACUCGAGGCUCAACCUCGAGACGCCGGUGGAAACCGUAAAGCUAGAGUCCGGAAGAGGAGAGUGGAAUUCCUGGUGUAGCGGUGAAAUGCGCAGAUAUCAGGAAGAACACCCGUGGCUAAGGCGGCUCUCUAGUACGGUACUGACGCUGAGACGCGAAAGCGUGGGGGAGCAACAGG